CCUGCUAGCUGCUUCCGGGGCACAGCGUGGAGCCAGAACAAGCAGGGACCCUACCUUAGCCCUGCUGCAUCACUGACCGGGAGCCACCUGAGAUAACUGAUCAUAGAGAAUGCAGCUCCAUAGGCUGGAGUUCCUGCAAUGCACCUCCUUCAACAAAUCAAAGG